UACGUAGGGCGCGAGCGUUGUCCGGAAUUAUUGGGCGUAAAGAGCUCGUAGGUGGCUUGUUGCGUCUGCCGUGAAAGCCCGUGGCUUAACUACGGGUCUGCGGUGGAUACGGGCAGGCUAGAGGCUGGUAGGGGCAAGCGGAAUUCCUGGUGUAGCGGUGAAAUGCGCAGAUAUCAGGAGGAACACCGGUGGCGAAGGCGGGACUCUGGGCCGAUACUGACGCUGAGGAGCGAAAGCGUGGGGAGCAAACAGG
rnacentral:rRNA from 1 species